rnacentral:rRNA from 1 species
CCUACGGGUGACUGCAGUGAGGAAUAUUGGUCAAUGGGCGCGAGCCUGAACCAGCCAAGUAGCGUGAAGGAUGACUGCCCUACGGGUUGUAAACUUCUUUUAUAAAGGAAUAAAGUGAGGCACGUGUGCCUUUUUGUAUGUACUUUAUGAAUAAGGAUCGGCUAACUCCGUGCCAGCAGCCGCGGUAAUACGGAGGAUCCGAGCGUUAUCCGGAUUUAUUGGGUUUAAAGGGAGCGUAGAUGGGUUGUUAAGUCAGUUGUGAAAGGUUGCGGCUCAACCCGGGCCGGCCGUUGAAACUGGGGAUCUUGAGUGGGCGAGAAGUAUGCGGAAUGCGUGGUGUAGCGGUGAAAUGCAUAGAUAUCACGCAGAACUCCGAUUGCGAAGGCAGCAUACCGGCGCCCGACUGACGCUGAGGCACGAAAGCGUGGGGAUCGAACAGGAUUAGAUACCCCUGUAGUC